rnacentral:lncRNA from 1 species
GGAGCCUCAGUACUGGACAAAACCCUAGAAGGAGGAGGCAUCAGAGGUUGAUCAUUUGAAGCUUCAUUACGCGGUACAGCCCCAGAAGACGAAUGCAAUAAAUGCCUUUGGAACAAACCCACAAAUCUCUGAUGAUCAAGUAAAACCUGACCAUCAGAUUCCUUCAUCUGGUCAAGCUUCCUCUUCAUGUUUGUAGCAUACUCAUGUGCGAGCUGGUGCAACUGUUUAUUCUCAUGCUUGAGCCCUCUAAUCUCCUGUUUGAGACUCAUCACUUCAGCCGCCAAUGAUUCAACUUGGCGGGUUCGAGCAAAUAGGCGUUGGGCCAUAUUAGACACAGAACCUGCACACUGAACACUGA